rnacentral:rRNA from 1 species
CAGCGAUGCUUUACCAUGCAGUCGGGCGGCAGCAUGGACUUCGGUCUGAUGGCGAGCGGCGAACGGGUGAGUAAUGCAUCGGAACGUACCUAGUCGUGGGGGAUAACUAGUCGAAAGAUUAGCUAAUACCGCAUACGUCCUACGGGAGAAAGCAGGGGAUCGCAAGACCUUGCGCGAUUGGAGCGGCCGAUGUCUGAUUAGCUAGUUGGUGGGGUAAAGGCUCACCAAGGCGACGAUCAGUAGCGGGUCUGAGAGGAUGAUCCGCCACACUGGAACUGAGACACGGUCCAGACUCCUACGGGAGGCAGCAGUGGGGAAUUUUGGACAAUGGGGGCAACCCUGAUCCAGCCAUUCCGCGUGAGUGAAGAAGGCCUUCGGGUUGUAAAGCUCUUUCGGCAGGAACGAAACGGUUCGCUCUAACAUAGCGGACUACUGACGGUACCUGAAGAAGAAGCACCGGCUAACUACGUGCCAGCAGCCGCGGUAAUACGUAGGGUGCGAGCGUUAAUCGGAAUUACUGGGCGUAAAGCGUGCGCAGGCGGCUUUUUAAGCCAGAUGUGAAAUCCCCGGGCUUAACCUGGGAACUGCAUUUGGAACUGGAAGGCUAGAGUGCGGCAGAGGGGGGUAGAAUUCCACGUGUAGCAGUGAAAUGCGUAGAGAUGUGGAGGAAUACCGAUGGCGAAGGCAGCCCCCUGGGUCGACACUGACGCUCAUGCACGAAAGCGUGGGGAGCAAACAGGAUUAGAUACCCUGGGUAGUCCACGCCCUAAACGAUGUCAACUAGUUGUUGGGAGGAGUGAAAUCCCUUUAGUAACGAAGC